AACGCUAGGGCAGGCUUAACACAUGCAAGGUCGAGGGGCAGGCACGGGUAGCAAUACCUGGUGGCGACCGGCGCAAGGGUGCGUAACGCGUGAGCAACAUGCCCUAUACAGGGGGAUAAUCCAGGGAAACUUGGUCUAAUAUCCCAUAGCAUUUAGAGGAGGCAUCUACAUUAAAUUAAAGCUUCGGUGGUAUAGGAUUGGCUCGCGUGACAUUAGCUAGAUGGUGGAGGUACGCCACCAUGGCUAUGAUGUCUAGGGGUUCUGAGAGGAAGACCCCCCACACUGGGACUGAGACACGGCCCAGACUCCUACGGGAGGCAGCAGUGAGGAAUAUUGGACAAUGGAUGGAAAUCUGAUCCAGCCAUGCCGCGUGCAGGAAGACGGCCCUAUGGGUUGUAAACUGCUUUUAUAUGGGAGCAAUAAGGUCUACGAGUAGACCGAUGAGAGUACCAUAUGAAUAAGCAUCGGCUAACUCCGUG
rnacentral:rRNA from 1 species